rnacentral:rRNA from 1 species
AGAGUUUGAUCAUGGCUCAGGAUGAACGCUGGCGGCGUGCUUAACACAUGGAAGUCGAGCGAGAAAUCGGGAAAUGAAAUUUUGGUAGAUUUGAACGAUGGAAAGCGGCGGAGGGUGAGUAAUGGUGGGAAACUUGCCUUUUGCAGAGGGACAGCUGAGGGAAACUUCGAUUAAUACCUCAUAACGCAUCAUGCGUCGCAUGGCGGAGAUGCCAAAGAUUUAUCGGCAAGAGAUGGUCCCGCGUCUGAUUAGCUGGUUGGUGAGGUAGCGGCUCACCAAGGCGACGAUCAGUAGCCGGCCUGAGAGGGUGAACGGUCACAUUGGAACUGAGACACGGUCCAGACUCCUACGGGAGGCAGCAGUGGGGAAUAUUGCACAAUGGGCGCAAGCCUGAUGCAGCCACGCCGCGUGAAGGAUGAAGGCCGUCGGGUCGUAAACUUCUGUCCGAAGGGAAGAAUCAAUGACGGUACCUGUGGAGGAAGCCGCGGCUAACUACGUGCCAGCAGCCGCGGUAAUACGUAGGGGGCAAGCGUUAUCCGGAAUUACUGGGCGUAAAGAGUGCGUAGGUGGCACUGUAAGCGCAGGGUUUAAGGCAACGGCCCAACCGUUGUUUGCUCUGCGAACUGCAGAGCUUGAGUGCAGGAGGGGAAAGUGGAAUKYYCUGAGUGUAGCGGUGAAAUGCGUAGAUAUUASGAGGAACASCGGGUGGCGAAGSSRMYKUKCUGGACUGUAACUGACASYKRRGCACGAAAGCGUGGGUAGCAAACAGGAUUAGAUACSCUGSUAGUCMMSSYCGUAAACGAUGAGCACUAGGUGUCGGGCUCGCAAGAGUUCGGUGCCGGAGCAAACGCAUUAAGUGCUCCGCCUGGGGAGUACGCACGCAAGUGUGAAACUCAAAGGAAUUGACGGGGACCCGCACAAGCAGCCGGAGCAUGUGGUUUAAUUCGAAGCAACGCGAAGAACCUUACCAGGGCUUGACAUCCUCCUGACGUAUCGAGUAAUGCUGAUAUUCUCUUCGGAGCAGGAGUGACAGGUGGUGCAUGGUUGUCGUCAGCUCGUGUCGUGAGAUGUUGGGUUAAGUCCCGCAACGAGCGCAACCCCUGUUACUAGUUGCCAUCAUUGAGUUGGGCACUCUAGUGAGACUGCCGGGGACAACCCGGAGGAAGGCGGGGAUGACGUCAAAUCAUCAUGCCCCUUAUGUUCUGGGCGACACACGUGCUACAAUGGCUGUCACAGAGGGAUGCGAAGGAGCGAUCCGGAGCGAAACCCUAAAGGCAGUCCCAGUUCGGACUGCAGGCUGAAACCCGCCUGCACGAAGUCGGAGUUGCUAGUAAUCGCGGAUCAGAAUGCCGCGGUGAAUGCGUUCCCGGGUCUUGUACACACCGCCCGUCACACCAUGGAAGCUGGGGGUGCCCGAAGUCGGUCGCUAAUCAGACUGCCUAAGGCAAAACCAGUGACUGGGGGGAAGUCGUAACAAGGUAGCCGUA